GACGAACGCUGGCGGCGUGCUUAACACAUGCAAGUCGAACGGACAGGCCCUGCUUUUGUGGGGUGCUCGAGUGGCGAACGGGUGAGUAACACGUGAGUAACCUGCCCUUGUCUUUGGGAUAACUUCAGGAAACUGGGGCUAAUACCGGAUAGGAGCUCCUGCUGCACGGUGGGGGUUGGUAAGUUUCGGCGGUUGGGGAUGGACUCGCGGCUUAUCAGCUUGUUGGUGGGGUAGUGGCUUACCAAGGCUUUGACGGGUAGCCGGCCUGAGAGGGUGACCGGCCACAUUGGGACUGAGGUACGGCCCAGUCUCCUACUGGAGGCAGCAGUGGGGAAUAUGACGCAAUGGGCGGGAGCCUGAUGCAGCAACGCCGCGUGCGGAAUGACGGCCUUCGGGUUGUAAACCGCUUUCGCCUGUGACGAAGCGUGAGUGACGGUAAUUGGUAAAGAAGCACCGGCUAACUACGUG
rnacentral:rRNA from 1 species